rnacentral:rRNA from 1 species
AAUCAACGCUGGCGGCGUGCCUAACACAUGCAAGUCGAACGCGAAAGCCCCGCAAGGGGUAAGUAGAGUGGCAAACGGGUGAGUAACACGUGGGUGACCUGCCUGCGUGUGGGGGAUAACGUCCCGAAAGGGACGCUAAUACCGCAUGACAUCCUGCUUUUGAAAAAGCGGAGAUCAAUGCUGGGUAGCGCAUGACCUAGCGCUUGAAGAGGGGCCCGCGCCCGAUUAGGUAGUUGGGGAGGUAACGGCUCACCAAGGCGACGAUCAGUAUCCGGCCUGAGAGGGCGGACGGACACACUGGGACUGGAGAACGGCCCAGAAUCCUACGGGAGGGAGCAGUUGGGGAUUGUUCGCAAUGGGCGCAAGGCUGAAGACGGAACGCCGGGUGGAGGACGGAGGUCUUCGGGUCGUAAAAUCCUGUCGGGCGGGAAGGAAGCUGCGCGGAUGAAUAAUCCGCGGAAUUGACGGUACCGGUAAAGGAAGCCCCGGCUAACUCCGUG